GACGAACGCUGGCGGCGUGCUUAGCACAUGCCAGUCGAACGGAAAGGCCCUGCUUUUGUGGGGUGCUCGAGUGGCGAACGGGUGAGUAACACGUGAGUAACCUGCCCUUGACUUUGGGAUAACUUCAGGAAACUGGGGCUAAUACCGGAUAGGAGCUCCUGCUGCAUGGUGGGGGUUGGAAAGUUUCGGCGGUUGGGGAUGGACUCGCGGCUUAUCAGCUUGUUGGUGGGGUAGUGGCUUACCAAGGCUUUGACGGGUAGCCGGCCUGAGAGGGUGACCGGCCACAUUGGGACUGAGAUACGGCCCAGACUCCUACGGGAGGCAGCAGUGGGGAAUAUUGCACAAUGGGCGGAAGCCUGAUGCAGCAACGCCGCGUGCGGGAUGACGGCCUGCGGGUUGUAAACCGCUUUCGCCUGUGACGAAGCGUGAGUGACGGUAAUGGGUAAAGAAGCACCGGCUAACUACGUG
rnacentral:rRNA from 1 species